GUGGGAGGAAAAUGGGCUGGGCUGGCAGCUCGGUGCCUCUCGGCCUGGCUCCUAAUGUGCUCAGACCUGGGACUGGUGGGUGAGGGGGACGGAGGAGUCCGCAUGAGGCACAGUGUCCCAGACUCCAGGAGGCCAGGCGGGAGAGGCUGAGAUGUGGGCCCUAUGCCGGGGGAGGGGCAGAAGCAGCUGGGCCCUGAUCGCUUACCGGAGGCCGCUGACUUGGGACUUUGUCCCCUGCACACUCUGUGCAGAACAUUUGCACCCAGCACUGGCUGUUUGGCUUGGCAAGUGAGCAAGGUGUAAAGCCGCAGCUGGUCUGUGGGUACCCAGUCACCGAAUGCAGCCGAGUCAGUCACCACUGCUCCCCCCCCACCCUGGGGACAAGGGCUCGUGCCGGCACACACAGUCCUCUCCGCGCAGGUACGGUACGGACGCCGUGUGCAGCUGAGUCACAGCUGCCUCCUCGGCGAGCGCGUGCCUGCAUGCACAUGCCACAGGUGCCCGCAGACGCCACUGACACCUGAUCCUGAGUCACGGACACCAUGGAACCCUGAGGAGGGCACAGAGAGUAUGUUCUGCCAUCCCUCUUUCAACACAGAUAGCCAUAUAUACUCGCACACAUAUACGUGCCCACCAUACAUCCUGCCUGCCCUGUCCUAUGAGGGGGUCCAGCAACUACAUGGGGAACGAAUAAAUGAGGGACCAAAUGACUGAAUAAGCAAGUACGUGAAAAUGAACAGAAACCUGUAUCAUCAGGAAAGAGGUGCGAGACAGUUGAAGAUAAAACCGACAGCAAACCUCACCAACAUUCAAGCCUCCUGCAGAUUGGACCUGGCAGCAGGGAGCCCUCAGCUGCAGAGCAGAAUGGCUACUCGAUUUCUCUCCAUCAAGUCGCACCAUGUGUCUGUGACUUGGGCAGGAGGCCGCCUGCCUGACGCUGUGGGACACAAGCCCUCCCAGAGCCUGGCAGCGCUGCCCCCUACCCCCUCUCCGGCAGGGCCUCUGCGGAAGUGUGCGGCCUGCCCGUGGAGCCAGGGCCCAGGCUUCUGCUGUCUGCCCGGCCGUCUUUCCUCCACGGGACUCGGAGGCUGUGGCCGAUUUCAGGUCCCUCUCCCCUCUCUCCCCACUGUCCCCAGCAGGUAG
rnacentral:lncRNA from 1 species